AACACUUUCCUUUACAAAACCAUUUUUUGUCUUACAGAUUAUAUCAGCGCUGGUUCUGGUAUAGCAUACUCUAAAUGGAUUCUGGUGGUCAAUCUCAUUCUUCUGCUUCUGAUUGUCUUUCGUUAGCAACAUUCCGUUUGAUAACAUUCCGAGUAGAUAACGAAGAUUUAUACUUACGUUUACUGCAUUUGGUAUCGACAAGCGAUUGAAAUGAAUUUUCACCCGUACAAGAUUUUACAAGAUGCUUAUAAAUUUCUAAAUACCAAGCUUGUUAAUUGUAACUCCUUUUAGCCACUAACUGUAGAAAUAGAAUAUUAACAAUUCCACAUUUGAGUUAGAAUAUUAUACAGAGACAGUCUGGCUAUAUUGACAUAGUUUCAUUAAGUUAAAGUGAACUUUUGUUUAGUUAACGAAAGGGUUAGAAGUAAAAUUAUUUAGUAAACUACAUCAAAAAUGUUUUGAUUUAAAAGUUAAACAUUAUUGUUACAGGAAGUAUAUAUUUAUGUAUAUAUAUAUAUAUAUAUUAUAUGUAAACCAUUGUAAAAUUAUUAUAGAUAAAUGCAUUUGAAAA